rnacentral:tRNA from 2 species
GGGCCCUUAGCUCAGAAGUAGAGUGUUCGCUUGACAUGCGAAAGGUGGCAGGAGCAUUACCUGCAGGGCCCACCA